rnacentral:lncRNA from 1 species
UUUCAACCUGCCCAACACGAUUACUGGUCCACCUAGAAAUGCCGUGGAGCGAUUUAAGAGCCUCGGAAAUUUCCUUUAAGACUAGUCUCACUCUGUUGCCCAGGCUGGAGUGCAGUGGCGCGAUCUCAGCUUACUUCAGCCUCCGCCUCCCGGUUUCAAGUGAAUUCUCCAGCCUCAACUUCACAAGUAGCUGGGAUUACAGGGCAUUCAAGCAGCCCUGAGGAGAGGUCCACAUGGUGAGCCACUGAGGGCCUUGCCAAGAGCCAGCACCAACGGUCCAGGUUUGGAGUGUACCACCUUGGAAGUGAAUCUUCCAGUCCAGUCAAGCCUUCAGAUGACUUCAGAACCGUCCAUGUAAGCCACUCUUGGAUUCCUGACCCACAGAAACUGUUGGAGUAAGUGAUGUUUCUGAAGCACCAAUGAAAAUGAAGUCCUGAAGUCCUGUGCUCAAUAUGAAAUGUUGGAAGUUAGAAGAAAAAAACAAAACUUGGAUCCAAUCUCAAGGCACUUUUUGUUUAAUGGGAAGAAGUGGAUUAUUUUAAAAGCUACAAAUAAAGUUACAUAAAAGU